rnacentral:rRNA from 1 species
CAGCCGCCGCGGUAAUACGUAGGGGGCAAGCGUUGUCCGGAAUUAUUGGGCGUAAAGCGCGCGCAGGCGGUCAUGUAAGUCUGGUGUUUAAUCCCGGGGCUCAACCCCGGAUCGCACUGGAAACUGGGUGACUUGAGUGCAGAAGAGGAGAGUGGAAUUCCACGUGUAGCGGUGAAAUGCGUAGAGAUGUGGAGGAACACCAGUGGCGAAGGCGACUCUCUGGGCUGUAACUGACGCUGAGGCGCGAAAGCGUGGGGAGCAAACAGGAUUAGAUACCCCGGUAGUCCCUGUCUCUUAUACC